rnacentral:rRNA from 1 species
GCCAGACUCCUACGGGAGGCAGCAGUGAGGAAUAUUGGUCAAUGGACGGAAGUCUGAACCAGCCAUGCCGCGUGCAGGAUGACGGCUCUAUGAGUUGUAAACUGCUUUUGUAUUAGGGUAAACACCCCUACGUGUAGGGGCUUGAAAGUAUAAUACGAAUAAGCAUCGGCUAACUCCGUGCCAGCAGCCGCGGUAAUACGGAGGAUGCGAGCGUUAUCCGGAUUUAUUGGGUUUAAAGGGUGCGCAGGCGGCACGGCAAGCCGGCGGUCAAAUCGCGGGGCUCAACCCCGCCCAGCCGUCGGAACUGCCGGGCUAGAGUGGGCGAGAAGUGCGCGGAAUGCGUGGUGUAGCGGUGAAAUGCAUAGAUAUCACGCAGAACUCCGAUUGCGAAGGCAGCGCACCGGCGCCCUACUGACGCUCAGGCACGAAAGCGUGGGUAUCGAACAGGAUUAGAUACCCCAGUA